AGUGAGNUGGCAGAGUGGGAAUGCGUGCCGCUGUAGACGGUAUUUUUCGGGAGUUCAAAUCUCUCUUUCACUA
rnacentral:tRNA from 1 species